rnacentral:ncRNA from 1 species
UUCACGGAGAGUUUGAUCCUGGCUCAGGACGAACGCUGGCGGCGUGCUUAACACAUGCAAGUCGAACGAUGAACCGCUUUCGGGCGGGGAUUAGUGGCGAACGGGUGAGUAACACGUGGGCAAUCUGCCCUGCACUCUGGGACAAGCCCUGGAAACGGGGUCUAAUACCGGAUAUGACUGUCCAUCGCAUGGUGGAUGGUGUAAAGCUCCGGCGG